rnacentral:rRNA from 1 species
UACGUAGGGAGCAAGCGUUGUCCGGAAUCAUUGGGCGUAAAGCGCGUGUAGGCGGCUUGAUAAGUCUACUCUGAAAGCCCGGGGCUCAACCCUGGGAGGCGGGUGGAUACUGUCGAGCUCGAGUCCGGAAGAGGCGAGUGGAAUUCCUGGUGUAGCGGUGAAAUGCGCAGAUAUCAGGAGGAACACCAAUGGCGAAGGCAGCUCGCUGGGACGGUACUGACGCUGAGACGCGAAAGCGUGGGGAGCAAACAGG